rnacentral:rRNA from 1 species
AUUGAACGCUGGCGGCAGGCCUAACACAUGCAAGUCGAGCGGAUGAAGGGAGCUUGCUCCUGGAUUCAGCGGCGGACGGGUGAGUAAUGCCUAGGAAUCUGCCUGGUAGUGGGGGAUAACGUCCGGAAACGGGCGCUAAUACCGCAUACGCCCUGAGGGAGAAAGCGGGGGAUCUUCGGACCUCACGCUAUCAGAUGAGCCUAGGUCGGAUUAGCUAGUUGGUGGGGUAAAGGCCUACCCAGGCGACGAUCCGUAACUGGUCUGAGAGGAUGAUCAGUCACACUGGAACUGAGACACGGUCCAGACUCCUACGGGAGGCAGCAGUGGGGAAUAUUGGACAAUGGGCGCAAGCCUGAUCCAGCCAUGCCGCGUGUGUGAAGAAGGUCUUCGGAUUGUAAAGCACUUUAAGUUGGGAGGAAGGGCAGUAAGUUAAUACCUUGCUGUAUUGACGUUACCAACAGAAUAAGCACCGGCUAACUUCGUG